rnacentral:rRNA from 1 species
GACGAACGCUGGCGGCGUGCUUAACACAUGCAAGUCGAACGAUGAACUUGGAGCUUGCUCUGGGGGAUUAGUGGCGAACGGGUGAGUAACACGUGAGUAACCUGCCCUGGACUCUGGGAUAACUUCGAGAAAUCGGAGCUAAUACCGGAUAGGACCUUGCACCGCAUGGUGUGGGGUGGAAAGUUUUUCGGUUUGGAUGGACGCGCGGCCUAGCAGGUUGUUGGUGAGGUAAUGGCUCACCAAGGCGUCGACGGGUAGCCGGCCUGAGAGGGUGACCGGCCACACUGGGACUGAGACACGGCCCAGACUCCUACGGGAGGCAGCAGUGGGGAAUAUUGCACAAUGGGCGCAAGCCUGAUGCAGCAACGCCGCGUGCGGGAUGACGGCCUUCGGGUUGUAAACCGCUUUUAGUAGGGAAGAAGCCUUCGGGUGACGGUACCUGCAGAAAAAGGACCGGCUAACUACGUGCCAGCCGCCGCGGUAACAC